rnacentral:rRNA from 1 species
UACGUUCCCGGGCCUUGUACACACCGCCCGUCACGUCACGAAAGUUGGUAACACCCGAAGCCGAUGGCCUAACCGGUUCGCCGGGGGAGUCGUCGAAGGUGGGACUGGCGAUUGGGACG